GGAACAUCGAGAGAAACCGUAUAUUUUUUUCAUUCCAGUUCCUGACGGCAAGAUAGAAGGCAGCAAAUUUUCAAGAAGUUUUUCCUCCGUCAAAUUUUUGGAAACCGCUUUUCAACUUUUCAAACUAUCAAGCCAGCAAAUCCAAAUUAACAAUGGAUAAUCAAGAACCAACAGACGCAAGUAGCUCUCGUGGGGGCGAUAUGACGAGACCCUUUGGAAUUCCGCUUCAACGCCGCCGGCCUAGUAGCCGCGGAAGAGUUGCGGCGAACGAUGAACCAAAUGAUGCGAUGCGUCGUCGGAGAUCCCGAUCUCGUAGAGCUUCUCCCCGCAGGCUAAGCAGCAGUCGCCGUCGUAGACGCAGCCGCAGCCGUAGUCGGGGACGAAGAUAAACCUAUUGCGCGACGAAGUGAGUGAAAUCAAGACUGUGUGCCGAAAACUUCAGGGUGAACCGUCUUAAUAAAACUAUUUUUUAGCAAUA